rnacentral:misc_RNA from 1 species
UCCCCGUUACCGGGGCAGUCUACCUAGAAAAAUCCAACUAAGUAUAAGGGUUGCGCUCGUUGAUGGACUUAACCAAACAUCUCACGACACGAGCUGACGACGGCCAUGCAAGAUCUGUCACCAAGUUCAAUAAAGCACUCUCGCCUUUCGGCAAAAUUCUUGGGAUGUCAAGCCCUGGUAAGGUUCUUCGUUUAUCAUCGAAUUAAAGAACACGCUCCACCGCUUGUGCGGGUCCCCGUCAAUUCCUUUGAGUUUUAGCCUUGCGGCCGUACUCCCCAGGCGGGGUGCUUAAUGCGUUAGCUUCGGCACGGACGGAGUCGACACCGCCCACACCUAGCACCCAUCGUUUACGGCGUGGACUAC